rnacentral:lncRNA from 1 species
UCGUAGCUGCACAAAGUCGUCCGACCUCUACAAAACAUCCACAUAAAGACCAAUAUAGAUCAGACUCCUUAGAAGUGCUAGCUUGCAUGGAUCUUUAAGACUAAUUUCUCCCUUCUUCAAGAACCUUGGAUGCUCCAAAGGAAGAAAAGAUCUAGAGAAUGAAGAGAAGAGAAGAGAGAGCUCUAGAGAAAAAUUAAAACCAGUAAGAAGAACAUAUGGGGUAUUUACUAUUGGUGGAUACCCCCCUUUAUAUAGAAAAGGGAUUAGGGUUUUGGUCAAAGGGAGGGCACCAAAAGAGUCCACGCCAAACACCAAUUUGGCAUCCCAAAAAUUUUCAAAAAUGAGAGUUGGC